GCUUCAUGCUGCAAGCUCGGCCAACAUCAGGCAAUAGCACUGUGGGUUAUUUCAUGCCGGGAAACACCAGUCAGGUCCGACUGCACAACUGUUUCAACACUGAGAAGUCGGCCAUCAGCCACUCUGCAGCAAAUGAAAUAACCCGGAUCGAAGUCAAGUGGGUCGCACCGCUUACAUCUUCUCCAGACAAUAUUACAUUCUGUGCAACCUUUGUGAAGAACUACGCCGAGUUCUGGACCAUGGUGAGCAGUCAGACGGUCCUACUGUCCAGCAGUCCUGCUUCAGCUGUGAAUUGUCUGGUAAAUACAGGCUUUGAGAUAUCUGCACUGUAAUUAUACACCUCUGCACUACAAUCUCUAUUUUCAUUCCCAGAACACUGUUCUUUUCAUUGUUACAUCACAGAUGAUUCCGUUCUGCAGCCUGAUUGCACUUGGACUCUUCAGAUCUUCAUCUUUAACUCUGCUCUGAUCUCAGAAACCUUACUCUGGAAGAGUAAAUAUUUCUGUGUUUAUGGAGAUUACAAUAUGUAGAUGCUUUGUUGUAAUGCUUGGCUCAGAUUCUACUGUGAACAUAAAGAAUCAUGUUUAUUUAGAUUACAGAGAUUAUGUUCAGCUCAUUUUAACUCUGUUAGGUUAUCCUAUUCCCUCCAGUUCUUAUUUUCCUGAUAGGAGGAAGGGUUUUGUGGCUCCUUUUCAACAACAUUGUUUAUUUAGUUGAAGACGGACAUGACAAUAUGACAAAUGAGUUCUUUUCAAAUAAAAGUUAAUAAACGUCAGCUGCAUUGAUAAAAAUUCUAAAGUUACAACCAGAACAUGAUGUAAUCUCAGAUCUUCAUAGUGACACACUACGUUUACAAAAUAAAUAAAUAAUCACACUUCACUGCUGAUGUAUGUGUGGUGAUCUGGGAAAACCCACUGGCUGUUUAAUUUACUUUGGCGUCUGCUGCAUUGUUGGGAAAAGAGCCAAGGGAGAUUUCCUCACACAAGAAAUGUCACAAAUUAAAUGUUGUUGGAGAGCUAUGUCCAUC